rnacentral:tRNA from 1 species
ACCAGAACCCAAACUCUGAUUUUAGUGAUGUUUUUACUGAAACUUCAGUGACAGUGUUAU